UUUUUCUUGAAAGAAAUUGGUAGAGCUCUUGCGCUCUCACUGAGUCGCUGCUAUAUGCUAAGAAAAGAGUUCCACUCAUCUUUUCCUUACAAUUUGUACCUAAUACAAUAUGAGAUCAAUUGGUUUUUUUUUUUUUUUGUUGAGAAUAUGAGAUCAAUGGACUAAUUGUAACAGUACCUCUGUCAUGAAAACAAAAACGCACUCAUAUUUGCCAAACCGUCAAAUUGUAACAGUAAUGUAAUUAGAGGCCGAUCAAUGGACAUUCAAAUCAAGCCCAAAUCCCAAAUGAUUGAUAUCUCAAGAAUCUCAGAUCUAUCACCACCAUUUACAGACCAGAUCUAAUCUCUUCACUUAACAUCGGCAGAGUAGAUCAUCAGCUCUUGUUUUCACCCAUUCAAAAUUAAUCAAUAGUGGAAGGAAUGAACAGGUUACGAUCCUUGUAACGGCAGAAAUCUAAACCAAUAAAACAUAAAAUUUCAGAUGUUAAGUAUGAAUCACAUUGAUUAUACCAAGAUGAAUUAUCAACCCACAUAAGCAAUUCACACAUUACUGAAUUAGGUAUUUAAUUAUGAAAAUCAAAGUAUAAAAGAACUACUAAAAAGGAAAAAACAUGCUGUGAGAAGUUACCUUCCGGUUCAUAGGGAAUUGAACACUUUAUUGUUACUUUUUCAUGCCUCUUAUCAAUUAGUAUUGACAAUCUGCCAUUAUCAUCAACAUGGCCAAACAAAUUGAGCUUGGUAUCGGGAUCCUUGAUAUCAAUGGCAUCUGGCAUAAACAGUUCUGCUUGGUAAAUUUUCAUCACACCAGCAUCUGCUGCCUCCAGUGUUAAAAAAACCAUGCCCAUUAACCAGCUCCUGGUUCCGUUCACCACUCUCAUAAACUCCAGUUGAGCAUUCUAAAAGCGAAACCAGAACUCUAGAUUUAGUAUAUAUGCAAAACCUAUAAGAAACUCAUUCUCUGCAGUAGGGUUAGAUCAUUCUAGAAACAUAUCAAACAUGUUUAAGCAUUUUUAGACAUUACUUUGAUAAAUCGGUCAUCAUGAAUCAAAGAGAAAAACUAAAGCAUGAGGUAGAAUCAAUAGCAUGCUGCUUUAACAAAUUCAUUAAGUUUUCAGUUCAAACCUUUUCCUUGUUAUACGUUUUCACGGCCCAACGUCCAAAUAUUUUUAGCAUCUUGCCAUUGUUUGGUAAGUCAUAUGCAGUUUUGAUAUGACACAGUUUGGGCCGUGAGGUAUGAAAACAAUCACAUCCCUGUUCAAAGACAGAAAAGUGAGUGUGAGACAGUCUUGAAAAAGAAGCUAACAAUGAACAACCUGGUCCAGUAUCAUCAUUUAUACAUGGACAAGAAGGUAAUAAGAAAAACGGAUGGAUUUGCAAUACCUGCUUUCUACACAUAGGAAUUUGAUUCUCGGCUUUGUCUUCAUUGUCCUUGGGAAGGAAGAAGAUUUCUGGUUCAAGUCCAUAACAUAUAUAACCAGCAUCAAUGUCCUUUAGUUUGUUACUUUGUUAAUUGAACUUAGAAACAUAACCAACCUAAAUAUGCAUAUAUUGGACAAUAAACGUACAAAAGUGAAGACCCAGUAUAGUUACCUAGGUGAUCAAAUAGUGCUAUAGGACACCCAUCAUCGACAAGAAGACAGAACCACUCCAAAGUCAUGCCUUCAAUGAAAUUAACCGAAACUCGUGCCUGGUAAAGUCUAGCCACACCGGCAUCAACUGCCUCCACUGUUAAAAUAUACAAGCUGCUAAUUCCUGUGUGCACCAGAUGCCUUUGUGACUUGACAACUCUCACAAACUGCAGUUGCGCAUUCUGAAACAGAACCCAAAAUUAACACCGAAAGCUAUCAUUCGUGUAUAAACAAUUACAUUUUAACAUUCGAUACCUUUCGCUUGUUAAACUCCUCCAUGGCGAAACGAGCAGGCUCCAAUCCUCCCAAGUCCAUAUAAUAAUCAUAUACCUAUUCAGAAAAAGAAAAGCAGAAUUAAUGAUCCUAAACAAACAAAUAUAUGAAGGCAUUAUAUAUGUUCCAAUGUUGUGUACCUUCGGCAACUUUCGUUUGCUUUUAUAGUUGCCAUAAUCGAAUCGGUGACGGAAGUAAUGACCAGCAACGACGUCGCUUCGGGAAUUCCUGUUUUGGUCGACAGCUGAGCUCGCAAAAGCCCUAAGCAUCAGAAUUCCACUUCUGUUCUUGGGAAUAGAGUUACUCACCAGCUUUGCCAGUGCAGAACGAAUCGCCAUACCCAUGUCCUCGUCCGCAGUUUGUAGUCGGCGAAAAAGAAAAAGUUGGGAACAGUAACCCCUAAAACUUGAGAGAGCACAUAAAUCGUCAGAGAUAGACGGACGCUCUUAUUUGGGCCACACUCUACGUCCACCAAGACCCAAGUUGAAGCCCAAAUAAUGAAAGCUCAAUCCCGAUGUGCCAUAACACACUAAUAGAGUUAAGUUGUUAUAAAUCCGAGUUAAGUUGUUAUAAAUCCACCAACUUGUGUAGCUGUCCACAUAAUUAUUUGAUAUCACUUUAUUCUGAGCAGGGUCCUUCUAUCAAGAGAAUUUUUUUUUUCUUCAUUUAUAGAGAUAGGGCAUUUGGAAAACUUUUCAAUCAUAAAAUUACAUCUCCACCGUUUAAUUUAUAGUCUAUAUGAGGAGAUCACUUCUGUAAAUUUUCAGAAAAUUUGGUGAUCGUUAAGUCAUCCAAAAGUUUGGUUAAUUUUUUAAGGAUCUUGAACGGUCUAGAUUUGACAUAAUUGUUAAGUUUUAUGUUUUAAUCUCAAUCAUCCAAGUCUAUUAAAAAAUAAAUCCAAUGUGGGUCUAUCCCUAGAAAUGAACAAAAAUAUGGAUCACUCAGUAGAAGAGUUAUGUUAUUCUGGGUACUUAAAUUGGUCAUCUUUAAAUAACACCAACCUUCUAAAUAAUAAACCAUGCAAACUAUUAUCUAAUCCCAUGCAACAACAAACAUAGGUUAAUAUCAGUAUAACUUAAUGCGGCCCACAUGAAUCAUUGACAGUCUUAGAAAAUAAUAGGGUGUAAUGUAGUCGUAAGUAUCAAACGUGCGCUAAGUAUACAGGUUAGGAGAGACUAAAUUUACAUAGAUAUUUAAUAAUACCUCAAUUUAAAAAAAAGAAAAGAAAAAGAAGCCCAAAAAAGAAGCAAUGAAAUUGAGGCACCAUGCAUGGUCACCAACUCACCAUGUUUUCCCUAGCAAAACCAAAUUGUGCCUUGCUACCCACUUUUGCCAUGGGCCCUAGCCGGCCAUGUUCACAAGUUUGGUUAGCUUGUUUCGUACUCACAAGGUUUACGUCAUGUAAAUACUAAGGAGACCAUAACGAAAACAAGAUGUUACGUAAGCUCAUUUAUUUUUAUAUCCAGUGACACCAAACAUGAGACUAACCAAACUAAACUCCUUAUUUAGCACAGUCCUACCUAGUCCCAACAAACCCAAACAUAGACUAAGAUAAACUUCGACGAAACUUUGAAAAAUCGUUAAAAAUAGUUCAGGAGCCCUAAAAAUUUACCGGAAAAUACGGCGAACUCGUGGCGGCCUUUACUUUCUAUCCUACCUUGAAAAACCAUUUUUGAGCAGUUUCAAAAAUCGGGAUGUUACAGCUAAACUAAAGCGCUUGAUAUGAGUUCCACCAAAAGUCCCCAAAGUCUCCAAUUAAAAGGAAUGUCUUGGUUAUGGAGUUUUCUGCAAAAUGGAAAAAGAAGUUGUUUACUAUGGAACCUUUUAAGCGGCCCUAUAAUGAUCAACUCGAGGUUCACCAGCAGGCGCUAGCCACCGACAAGGACCGUCGGUGCCACCCACGGGUCAUCAGGGAUAACCCAACCAAUGGAUAAGGUCAUCGGACCAAGAACAGACUUCGAUAACUAAGGAAGCAAAAGCCUUAGCCAAAGCUAAGAACACCUAUAAAUAUGGGCACAAACCCCCAAAAAAGGUAACUCCAAAAACUAUUCUCAAUCUCCUUAUCCUUGUCAUAUAUUAAAACUGGCUUAGGCAUCGGAGGGUCAUAGGCCGACAACCCUGUCUAUCCUCUGACCCAUGUCUGUGAUUGACAAGUGCAAGGCUAAUACGAAUGAAUAAGACCCGCAUUCUAGGAGGCGUGCAACCCAGAAGACAAGACUCGAUACCAUGAACCUCAUUAGAAACAAUUGGUGCUCUCAUUGAGAGUUGAACUCAAGACCUCCCGCUUACUGAAAAGACUAUAGUCGAGAACGUACCCUCCAUCGAAGAUGACUAGGAAUCCUUUGAAUAAUAGGGCGACUUAACUUCACCUCUACUCUCCUUGACACAUCCCAAGCAGAUGGAAAUAUUUGUCAAACCAAUAUGGCAGCUGCCUAUGAGUUGAUGAAGAAAGACUACUUUGCCCUCAAAGAACAAGCUACCCAAGAACAAGCUACCCAAGAACUUGUAAGCUCAGCUCCAGGAACUACAAUGGGAACAAGAUUUACUCCAGGUCACCUUGGGCCAACAGAUAAACCAUAAUAAAGCUCUAGAAUGGGCUUUUCAGUUCGUUACUCCUAAUUUUGCCAACCCCAGUAGCUGGAUCCUUCCUCGAACUAGGUAAUGUGACUAACAUCAUGCAACCAUUCGGGGGCCAGUAAUCCACUGUGUAUAUCAGACACCCCUUAUCCACCAAGGUUUAUCUGGCUCACCACCCGACCCCACCUUAAUCCUUCCCGGUCACAAUACCCAACAACAGAUUCCCCCUGAUUUUCAAACCCAACUCCUCCUUCAGCUCAGUAACAGCAUCACCAAUCUUGAAACCAAUAUACAAUUACCAAUAAUACUCAAUACCUCCCUUACACUUCCCAUGUUUAAGAGCCGAACCCUUUACUCCCUGAAUUCAGGUUGAAAAGAAGUCGCCUGAAGCAAAGCCUUUUAAGAUCAAGAAAUACAAUGGUAUUGGGACCCUUACCAUCAUCUAGAAGUGUUUUAAUAUCAGUUGGACUCAACACGCUAUAGUGAUGCCUAGGCCUGGCAUGCCUUCUAGGACAAUCUUUGUGAUGAAGCGUUGAGUCGGUUCAUGCGCCUCCCACCUUGUUCAAUUGACAAAUAUGAACAACUUACAGAGAAGUGUGUAAACCAGUUCAUCCUCCACAACGAACACCAAUCCAAAGCCAAGACAAAAUCAAACAAAAAGAUAACGAGAGCUUUCGAUCAUUUGUAACCAAGUGGCAGUCCGCUACCCCUAAAUGCCAAGACAUGGACGAAGCCGUAGCCGGGAUAUCUUUCAAGCAAGCACUCAAACCUUCACCCUUUGUUGUGGACUUCAACAAAAAGAACUUUCGUUGUUACGAUGAUCUUAUAGAUUAAGUAACUCGACAAGCUCAAGCUGAAUUUGAUACCUUUGUUCCUUUCGAGGAUACUACUCACGUCCUUAGGACAACCUUGUAGCAUCAGUUCCGCAACCAGAUAAAGAUAAAAUAGAACGACAAAAGCAAUGACAGUCAGGCAGAGAUUAAGUAACCCGACAAGCUCAAGCUGAAUUUGAUACCUUUGUUCCUUCUGAGGAUACUACUCCUGCCCUUGGGACAACCUUGCAGCAUCAGUUCUGCAACCAAAUAGAGAUAAACUAGAACGACAAAAGCAAUGACAGGUUAGGCACUAGUGACAUCCCAAACUAUAAAAAGUCCCCACGAUGUUUGCCUUCACCCUAACAGGUCCCACGGUAUGAAGUCUAUACUACCCUCAACUUGUCUUACGAAGAAAUCUGGAAUCGACAUAAGGACAUCAUCCUAGCACCACCCAAGAGAAAAUUUCCUCGACAAAACCACCCGGGAGACAAUAGGCACGAUGAGGCCGGUCACACAUCUAAUGUUUGCUAUGCCCUCAAGAAUGUUGUUGAGCGUCUAAUUCAAAAUUGGCAACUCCAACAAUACAAAACUCUUGCAAUCGGGGCUAACCCCAUUGAAGUUUAUGGAGAAAUCAUGAAUAUACACGGUGGGGCAACACAAGGGCUAGAUGGAAGAAACUCUAAACGCAUAUGCCCUCGGGAGCUGAGGUGGAGAUAAUGCAAUUACGCCAACAAUAUGCCCAGGAACCAGUCCCUUGGAACACGUUUAGCUUUUCAAUCACCAAAGACACCAUUGGCGCCCACCAUACUGAUAUUUUCCUAAUUACAAUUCAGAUUGAUCACUAGCAUAGGCGCCGAGUCUUGGUAGAUAUUGGGGCAUCCGUUAGUGUAAUGUUCAAUGACAGCUACAAGGGAUUCAAGAGAGGCCGGUAAACUGUAUAGGAAUCAUGAAGCUUCUAAAGAGAAUUAACCCAACCGCUAGGUUCUAAUCAACUCACUAUCACUAUUUGUAGCGGUUCCAAAGUGACUAAGUUGACAACCCCAUUUAUCAUUGUGGACUGCCCUUCAUUGUAUAACACCAACUUAGACCGAGAUGCCUUAUGGGGCCUAUAAAGUUUUAUAGCAUGUUGCUUAUGAAAAUCCCCACCCCUUAAGGGUUUGUUACAAUUCGAUCAAUCCCCCCCCCCCUCCUAGAGCCGAUUAAUCCCCGCCUAGGCUAGGUAGUGCUUCACCGUUUCCGUCUAGAGAGGCGAUUAUUCCUCCGAUUAACCCGCCUAGGCGCUAGUCACCGGAUGUCCGCCCGACUAACGCCUAGCAUUUUUUAGAACAUUACUCUUAUGCUUUAGAGCCAAUGAGUUCGGUUCCUCAAAUAUAGUAUGAGAAUGAGUGUUAUUGGCAAGCUCAACAUUAGCUUGGUCUGGCCUCUUAUGAGCUAUUGUGGCGAGAGCUUUCUUGUAGGCGAUCAAGAGAUUGUUACAUUUCUCUUUUGUGCGUUCUUUUACCAAUUAAGGUUGGAAACGUUUUUUCUAGUUGUUCGCGGUCAUGUGUGAGUCAGUAUCAGUGUGAACUGAUCUUUCGCGUUUGGGUUUGACCUCUAAACACUGAGGCUGGGGUGCAAAGCUAGUUUCUUGGUUGACCAUGCGCUGGGCAAUAUUAGAGCAAGCGUUGUGGAUUCUGGAUGACCCAAUAGCAUGGGGAGAGGCUGGAACGCGGUCCAAAACUAGUCAUAGAGAUAAAGAGGUUGUGUUUGAAUCGUCUCAAGCGCAAAACUUGGAAGAAGAGGUUAGGAGAGAACAAAGCAGGCUUUUGUUUGUGUGGGAUUUAGAUAAAUCGAAUGUGGGAGGGGCGGUUGAGACCAUUGGUGGCGCCAAAUAGUAUGCGAGUGAUUAUGGGGUAGCUAAUAUGGCUAAGUGUUGGACCGAUUAUCUGCUCUUAAACUAUCGACUCUUAACUAUCCGCUCAAUAAUAUAAACAAACAAGGUUAGAGGGGAGAGCAGACAGAUCGAUUUAGUCACUUCCCCUCCGGCGCUUAAGUCAUACCUCAUAGCGCAUAGUUUGAGGAGUAAAGAGGAGGGAAUGAGUUAGUUACCGGAGAAGGUGAGGCAAUGCUUUAUUUAUAAGUGCGCAUAUAUGACUUUGUGACAGCUGGAUCGCACUCGUCUAGGACAGUAUCUGUGCGUCCACGUGUACGGCCUACAGACACAUGCGCUUGCUAGGAGCAGUAGAACGCACACACACAAGGCUUAUUAGAGCGCUUGUAUAUGUUCCAGUAACAAAGUUUUUAUAAGAUUGUAGCAAUAUAUGUAGGUGUACUAAGGUGGGAUAGAAAUGCAUAUAGCUAUUGUCACUACCAGAAGAAAGGCUUUAGCCGACCAAAAAAAAAACCAGGCCGACGAACCAUUUUUUCGUCAGCUAAAGUAGACUUUAACCAACGAAAUUUUCCUUCGUCGGCUAAUUUAUAUUUUCGUCGGCUAUGAUCAACUUUAGCCAACGAAAUUAAAAUUUCGUCGGCGAAAGAAUUUAUUUCGUCUGCUAAAGUUCACAGACUAUAGCCGACGACUUUAAACAUUUCGUCGGCAAAAUAAUUUAUUUCGUCGACUAAAGUGCGUUAUAUUUGCAGAUCUGGACAGCAGCUCAUCUGGGAAAAAAAAACGGGAGAAGAAAAAAUGGGAGAAAAAGUUUGGGUGUUGUUGAAAUCUGUCCAUAAUUAGUUUGUGAAGCUAUAUAUAGGUACGUACAUGUGUAUAUAUGUUGAUUUUAAGUUUUAUUUGAGUUGAUCGAUUUUGAGUGUGAUUGAAUUGAUAUAUAGAUUUUGAGUACGUUGGAUGUAUAUAUAUAUGUGUUGAUCGAUUUGGUUAAUGAUUUGAUAAUAUAUAUGAAGUUGUUGUUAAUAAGUAGUAGNNNNNNNNNNNNNNNNNNNNNNNNNNNNNNNNNNNNNNNNNNNNNNNNNNNNNNNNNNNNNNNNNNNNNNNNNNNNNNNNNNNNNNNNNNNNNNNNNNNNNNNNNNNNNNNNNNNNNNNNNNNNNNNNNNNNNNNNNNNNNNNNNNNNNNNNNNNNNNNNNNNNAUAUAUAUAUAUAUAUAUAUAUAUGUUGAUCGAUUUGGUUGAUGAUUUUGAUAAUAUAUAUGAAGUUGUACAUAUGUUCAUAAGUAGUAGAUAUAUAUAUAUAUAUAUAUACAUAUGUUAAUUAAUUUAUAAUAUUGUGUUGAUGAUAUGAAGUUGUUGAUGAUGAUUUUGUGAUGAUGUUGAUAUAUAUAAUAUUGUUAUGUAAUUAUUAAUUCAGUAUAUCUAUAUAUAUGUGUGUUAAUUAAUUUGUUAUCAAUUAGUUGUAAUACGUAGAAUAUAUAUAAAUGAAUUGAGAUUUUAUAUAUGGCAUAGAAUUUAAUUAAUAAUUAGCUAGCGUUAUACAUAUAUAUUUUGUUAUAUUUUCAGGAUAUGGAUAAGAGUUGGAUUUCGCUUCCAAAAUGGGACAAAAGAUAUGGUAAAGGAGUUAUGAGUUUUUUGGAAUAUGCGCUGGCUAAUGCUAACGGGAAUACAAUUUUUUAUUACCCGUACACGAAAUGUCAGUGUCGCAGCGAUAUGCAUCGAUUUGCGAUUGACAAAGUAUGACAGUACCUAAAGAGUAACGGGUUUUGGGAGAAGUACACAUGUUGGUUAUAUCACGGUGAAACAUCAUCAGGGGGUCCGCAUGAUCAUGGCCAAUUUUCUGAGACGGGCAAUACUAGUACAUCCAAUGAUCCAACAACGGCCUUCAUCAACGACAUGUUUCCUUAUGAGAGCGGUGUAUGCGCUCAAGGUAGUAUAUGCCUGACCCGGUGCAGCCCUUCCCUAGAGCUGUCAACACUGCUGGUAUUGACAAGUACAACAAACAGCUUGCUUUUCAACAGACCCUUGUGUAUCCCGGUUAUCAGAAGACCGUUCUUGAAAGUGUGAUGGACGUAAUGAAGAUUAAAGUUGAGACAAAAUCGACCGUGAAGGAUGUUGAUGAUUAUCUACAGUACACUGCUUCGAUGCUGCCCCACGGUCAUCGUCUUCCUACCACUCAUCAUAAGGUCCGAUAUAUCCUGAAAGAUCUUGGGCUUUCCUACAUCAAGAUCCAUGCAUGCAGAUAUGACUGCGUUCUCUUCUGGGGUAAAGAUCCAGAAGGGAAUGACCUUGGUGGCCUUGACGCAUGUCCGGUAUGUCACACUGACAAGUAUAAGCUGACUCCUGCAGGCAAUAAGAAACCUAUGAAGGUACUUCGGUAAUUCCCGUUGAGGGAUAGGCUGGAGCGGUUGUACAUGUCUUCACACACGGCCGAAACUAUGAGAUGACACGCUGAUAGGGAAUUGCAUGACGAAGAUACCCUUAUACACCCUGUUGACGAGGAGGCUUGGAAGCAUAUAGACAGGGAGUUUCCUCAUUUUGCGUCAAAGGUUCGAAAUGUGAGGCUCGGGCUCUCAUCCGACGGGUUUAACCCUUUUGGCAACAUGAGUCUUCAAUACAGAGUAUGGCCGGUGAUUUUGGUACCGUACAACCUUCCUCCAUAGAUGUGCAUGAAGAAGGAAUACAAUAUGUUUAGUUUGUUGAUUCCGGGGCCCGGUUAUCCAGGGAAGUGUCUCGAUGUGUAUUUGAGACCUUUGAUUGAAGAGCUUAAGUUUUUGUGGGACGUUGGUCAUCCCACUUAUGACAAGUACAUGCACGAGAUGUUCCAGAUGCAUGUCAUGGUUGUUGGUACCAUUAGUGAUUUUCCUGCCCGUGGGAUGUUGUCGGGCAACGUUGUUAGGGGAUACAAGGCUUGUCCAGAGUGCCUUAGCGAUGAGGGGAGCAGCAGUCAUUGCAACAAGAUAUGCAAAUUGGGUCACCGUACUCUCCUUCCAUAUGAUCACGAAUGACUGUUCGAUGCACAGGCAUUUGAUGCGACCGUAGAAAUUGGUGUGCCUCUUAGAAGAUGGACGGGGGAAGAAGUUUUAGCAGUGCUUAAUGAGUACAAUUUUGGGCAGCUCAGCAAUCAUCCCAAUAUUGUGGCGACAAUACCUGAAAGACCCGACAGGUACAAAUUCUGGACACAUAAGAGCAUAUUCUGGGAACUCCCAUACUGGAGUAAGUUGUUGAUCAGGCACUACCUAGAUGUGAUGCACAUAGAAAAGAAUGUUUGCGACAGUGUGGUGGGCACAGUGUUGAACUUGGAGGGGAAGACGAAAGACGGUCAUAAGGCACGCAUUAAUCUUAAAAAAAUACAAAUAAGAAGACAUGUGGUUGAAAGAAGGGAAGAAAAAAAUGCCUCAAGCUCAUUACACCGUGAAACCUGACCAGAAGAACGUAAUUUUCAGGUGGAUGUGUUAUGUGAAGUAUCCUUCAGGCUAUGCAGGAAAUAUAGCCCGGUGUGUGAACUUCCGGGACAAUAAGAUGUACGGGUUGAAGAGUCAUGACUGUCAUAUCCUGCUACAACGUCUCUUCCCUGUUUUCAUUCGACCGUUCCUUCCCCGUCUGGUGGUGAAGCCGUUAGUAGCGUUGGCAAGAUUCUUCCAGAAGUUAUGCACACGGGAAGUGAAAAAAUCUAACCUCCGGGAAAUGCAAGAGGACAUCAUUUAUAUCAUGUGUAAAUUUGAGAGGAUAUUUCCUCCAAAUUUUUUUGACAUCAUGCCUCACCUGAUGAUCCAUCUUCCCGAGCAAUUGUUGCUUACCGGUCAAGUACACUACACUUGGAUGUAUCCCAUGGAAAUGUACGUUUUUUACACCUGAAUUCCUCAAUAUACAUGUUCAAUAAUCAUAACACUUUUUAACUUGAUUUAUAGGCAACUUGGAGACUACAAAGAUUAUGUAGCUAAUAAAUCUGCGCUUGAAGGAUGUAUAGCUGAAGUAUAUAUUGCGCACGAGUGCGUCACCUACAUGAAGUUGUAUUUAUGAGCGUUGAAGGAAACUCCGCAAACCAUACCGGUAGAUGUACCGAAGUUCAAUCUUUUCAUACUCUCCGGUGAUGUUGAAGUUCAUGGAAUUUUGCCAGACUCCUACAAGUUGCAACCACAUGAGCUAGUCAUUGCCCACUGGUGGGUAUUGAUUAACUGUCCAGAAGUUGAAUACUGGAAAGACAUCCAUCUAUAUUGUCCAGACAUUCAAGGUGAUCUCGAGUACCACAACAAGGAGUUCGCAAACUAUUUUGGCGGAUGGGUACGUAAUUUAAUAUUUAUGUACGUGUUUAUGUUUAUUGCAUAAUUAUCCAUAUUUACAGUUGAAUGGUUGGUUGCAGAUGAACCAUAUUCAAUUUGAUGAUCACUCAAAUUGGUCGCACGAACUAAGACUUCUAGCGAUGAAGCCAAUAAUGUCAAGAGUUUAUCCGAUGUGUAAGGUGAAUGGCGUGCAAUUUAUAUGUGAACAGAGAGACAGAAAACAGAGAACAUAGAAUUUUGGGGUGAUGGUGCAUGGUGGGAGGAAUGGAGUUGACUAUUAUGGUGUUCUCCAUUCAGUGGUGGAACUCGUUUAUGGGCAAGGCAUGACAGUGCACCUCUUCAAGUGUAGAUGGUUUGAUACUAGGCCGCAGAGCAUGAAGACCGAUCAGUACGGAAUAUUAUCGGUGAACACUGCUACAAGUUCUUACGAAGAUGACCCGUUCAUUUUUGCCACAUCGGUAAAACAAAUGUUUUAUCUUGAUGACAUUGCUAAGGGUGACGCGUGGAAAGUAGUCAACCUUGUACACCCUCGAAACAUUCACCGGGCGGCUACACUUGGAGAGGACGAAGACGAGGAAGAAGAUGUUGCGUAUCAAGAGCCCAACGCAAUAUGUAUUCCUAACUCAUCUACCGUUCGCCUUAAUAAUUUUAAAGCAGGUCGUUCGGUGCGAAUUCAUGAUGAAGAGCCAAGGUUUAUUGAUGUUGAUCCAAAUCAAGAAACAGACGAAGACUCUGGCGAUGAGGAAAGACAUAUAUUACCAGAAAUUAAUUCUGACACCGAAUAAGACUCAUCGGAUGAUUCCGAUUACGAGCCUUAGUUUUAAUUUAGAGGACGUAAUCCAUUAAUUUGUAUAACUAAAGACCUUUUCCUUUAUAGUUUAUAUAUGUUGAAUUCAUAUUUCAGUUAUUUUAUAUGAAUUUUGGUGAUAUAUGAUGAACAAGAAGUUAGUAUGGUUUACUAAUACCUUCUGUUUUUUUAUUAUAUUUUUUUUCUUUAGCCGACGAAAUACACUAUAAUUCGUAUUUUUUAAUUUUUUGAUGAACAAGAAGUUAGUAUAGUUAUUUUUUAAUUUUUUAAUUACAUACUAUAGUCGACGAAUACGUUAGGGUAUUCGUCGGCUAAACCCUAAAAUUUUUCUAUUACAUACUAUAUCUCUAUCUUCGGUGGUUAUUUUCCGUAAAAUUUUUAGACGACUUCUUGCGUCUCAUCGGUUUGAAACUAUUUUCAGUUAGAGGUCCGGCCAAAAUACGUAAUUUAGACGGUCGAACGACAUUUUCCAUGCGUUUAGGGGUUUGACUUACGGGAUUGACCGUCUGGAUCGAGCCCUUAACCUUGUUGGAUCAAGUUGAAUUUUUGCCCAUACAUGUAUUUUGUCAUGAUGGUCAGAUCUGACGGUCGGAUUUUUGUUUCUCAAGUUUGAUCAUCACAAUCACAAUGUGCAGAAUGUAUAAAAGUACUUUAACCGACGAAUUUCAAAGGUUAGCCGAAGAAUUUGAAAGGUUUAGCUGACGAAUUUCAAAGGUUUAGCCGACGAAUUGCAAAGGUUUAGCCGACGAAUUUCAAAGGUUUUAACCGACGAGUUUGAUCUUAGCCGACGAGAUUCUUAGAUUUAGCCGACGAAAUAAUAAUUUCGUCGGCUAAAGUUGUUGGGUUUAGAGACGAACACCCAGCGCUCGACAGCAGAAAAACCCUAGCCUCCUCUUCCGCCUCCUCCGCCUCCUCUCCCUCUCCCGGUCUCUGCCUCCUCCCUCCUCCCUCCUCCCUCCCUCUCCCGGUCUCCGCCUCCUCCCUCUCCCUCUCCCUCUCCCUCUCCCGGUCUCCAAGGUUAGCGUUUUUCUUCUCUUUUACUUUUGAUUUCGAAUUGAUUUUUAGGCUAUGCUUUAUGUUUUAUGUUACUGUCUAAUUUCCUUAAUUUAUGUUUAGGAGAUAAAUUAUCCUCAUUUUUUAAACAUAUGCUUUGUUGAUAAUGAACUUGAAGCUUGCACUGUGCACUUGUUAUAUUCCAUGACUAGGUACUACAUUCAUCGUGGGCUGGGUAUGAAUUUUUAAACAUAAGAUACAAAAUACAAAAUAGAAAAACCUAUAUCAAAUCCGGAUGAAUAUAUAUAUAUAUAUAUUUAAUUGAAUUCAUAUUUUUGAACAAGUAUAAUUUCAAAAAUAUAUAUAUUUCACAUUAUAUUAAGAGUUUAAGUUUAAGCAUGAACAUAAUGAAAAAAAUAUGGUUUCAAAAAUACUUUUUAUAGAAUAAAGACAAAAUAAUCUAGAGCCUUAGAUUUGAGAAGGAUAAGAUUGAAUUUUUACUUUUUCAAUGUUGCCUCAGCCUUGAAUUAACGAGCAACAUUGAAUGAGUAUAUCCGCCCAUACCUCAGCCUUGAUUCAAAUUAAUAUUUUAAACAGGAUGAGCGGCUAUUUUAGAUCGAAGAAGAGUUCGAAGGGCCAAAGGUCCGAAUCGUCUGAGGGAACCUCUAGCAACCCUCAAACGUCGUUUCAGGGCCAGAUAACAGCCAGACGUGCGAGCCUUCUAGAGACGGCGCAGAGGCAGCCGGAGGUGCCCCCUUCAUCGAGGCAGGCAGGCGUCCCUCGUUCCUCGAGGCAGCUGUGGUCUCAGACCCAGACGGAGGUGUCUACACCCCGUAUGCCUGAGAUACACCGGGCGCCCACUCCGGGUCCUACUUCUUCAGAUAGUGAGUCAUCUGGGGUACAGAUGUCGCCGCCUCAUCUAUUCCUUCCGCGGAUGAUACCGGCCUUACCUGUAGUCGAUGGCUCAGGGACGCCGAUUUAUCCACUGCCCCCGCCAGUGGCUCCAUCAGCAGAGUACCGGUUCGUGCCUUUUGAUACGCCUCUUAUUUCCGCGAGGGUAUCAUCAUUGGCGACAGAGACGGAAUCCGUCACGUCCGCCGCGAGCACCUCAGGUAAUCAGUGAUGAAUGAUUUAUUUUCUUAUAAUUAAUAAUAAAGGGUCUCCGAUUUUAAUAAUCAAUUUGGUUUAUCAUGUGACAGGCACCGUCGAAGCGAAGCCGACAAAGAAGAAGAGAGGCCCCGUCACAAGGAAGGCUCUCGAGAAGAUCGUGGGUACUGUGGGGAGGAUCGUCAUCAAUACUGACUGGGAUGGCCACAUAGUAUCGGGCGGGAAGUCGAGGACGUACUCCGGCCACAUGGGAGCACUUAUUAGGGAUAGAGUCCUUAUGUUGUGGUUAGACUGGGGCGAGGUCCCGCAGGAGGUUAAAGACAUGAUCCACAUCGCGAUGUCGGUGAGUUUACAAAAUGCCUCAAUAAUAUUAUGUAUUACAUUGUUGAUUUCUCGAAAAACUAAACCAAUAAACGGUUAAAUGUAGGUGUGGUUUGAGGUUCCCGAGCACCUGAAGGGCAGUUGGGCGGACGUUGUGCAUGGGGGAAGGUACGUUGGGAAGUUAAUGAAAAAACAAAAUUGUAUGUGAUAUUAAUAAUAUUUCUAAUAUUUUUGUUGUAUCUGUAGGUACAAGGAGUGGAAAAACGAGCUGCGGACCCACUGGACUACGCACGGGAAGGCAUGUUCUGGUACCCCUGCUGAGUUCCAGUACAGGGAGUACGAGUGGCGUUGGCUUCUGACAUCAGAAUUUAACAACCCUCGUAAACAGGUAUUUAAAAAAAUUAAUUAGUUAAUUUGUCAUUAAGUACGUCCGUUUUUAAAUAUUUUACUAAUAGUUUAUUUUUUCUUUGAAUGUCGUUUCCCGGGCGAACGCUCAGAACCGGCAACGCAACACAAGGAACCAUCAUGGCGGUUCUAGACCGUUCGCUGUCUUCAUGGACGAGGCGGCCAGGGAACAUCCAAAAGUCAACCGGUACGUCUAUACGUACGAGAAGGCAUAUCCUGACGUCCAGGAGGAUAUUGUAAGUCAUCUUACGUUUUUAAAUUUUUAAAUUUACUUAUAUAUAUGUCAAAAUGUUAAUUAAUAAUUUUUUUCCUAUCCAUAUAGGCGAAGGUGAAGGAGGCUAGUGACGAGGUGAUGAGUGUUAUAGUGAGGGAGACAUGGCCGGACACGCAGGAGGAAGAGAUGUCCGAAGCCAUGUCCCAGAUCGACACUUCCCACCGCGAGCAAACAACUUCUACUGCCGGGGUCUAGGAAAGAAGGGCGAGGGGGUCCUGAAGACCACUCCAGGAUUUCAACGAAAGGCAGCGUCGACCAGCAGCAGGACCACGACCACGACCACGACCACCAGGACGACUCAGCUAGAGUCGGAAGUUCAGAGACUACGGGAACAACAAGCUGCUCAGGUUGCCUAUAAUGCCGCACAGGUAGCCUAUGCUGCCGAGAUAUAUGCUAUCCAGCAGGCCCAGCAAAAGCAAAUGUUCCAGUACAUGCAGGAGUUUACAACUGCCCAGCUUCAGGGACUUCCGGCUCCGCCCAUGCCUCCGACUAUACCGCUACCCCAGCCGCCACAACCUCCCCAGCAACCUCUGCAGCAGCCCUCAGAAGCGGAUAUUAAUUUAGACGAUCUAGAUUUUGUGUAGUUGAUGAAUUAUAUAGUUUUAUGUGCUUGUUGUUGGUUAUAUGGAAUUGUUUUGGUGUAUUUUGCAGCUUGCUUGGAAUGGUAAUUUAGAAAUUUCGGGGUUUUUUUUUUACUGGAAUGGACUUAUAGCCGACGAAAUACGCCUUAAUUCGUCGGCUAUAGUAUUUUUAAUUUUCUUUUAAAUAAGUUUUAGCCGACGAAAUACGCCUUAAUUCGUCGGCUAAAUCCUUAUAAAGCCGACGAAAUAGUCUAUAUUUCGUCGGCUUUAGUUAUUUUUUUAUUUUUUUAUUUACAUACUAUAGCAGACGAAUAUAUUACACGUGUCGUCGGCUAAAGUGUCAGACAUGGCCGACGAAACAUUUAAUAUAUUCGUCGGCUAAAUUCUUGGAAAAAAGCCGACGAACUGUUUUUCGUCGGCUAAAUGCUGGGAAUAUAGCCGAUGACUUCUUCUAGUUUCGUCGGCUAAAGUCACCACAGACGACCUUUUCCCGACGAAAUCUUAGCCGACGAAUUAAGCUAACGGGCCGACGAAAAUUUUUCGUCGGCGAAAGUGCUUGUCCUGGUAGUGUGUUCUUUCCAUAAUCCCUUUGGUUUUGGGAUUCAAUAACAUUAGAAUUUAGAAGUGAGUGCAAUUUACAUCUCUGCCUUUUUGUUACUAAAUGGGAUGAUCUUCCUGCACUAGCCACAUGCUCUGAAAAAUUCUCGAUAAACAUGGUUUGAUUUUGCCUCCCCGAUAAAAUUAUGAUAGAUCCACUUUCUGAGGUCGAAAGUUACGAGUCUCGGUUUGAUUUUGGUUUGAGAGUUGUUGGGUAGAAGUAUUGGUUGUGGCCACGGUGGAGUUGACGAUGGGGCAUUAAAAGUGUUUCCGGCAUUGAUAAUUUGUCAACUAAUUGGUGUAGAAUUGAUGGAAUAUGAUGGAGAUGGAAUCUGUAAUUGGAGGUUAGGAAUAUGACUAAGGUUAAUGUGUACACUAAAGUUUUGAAAUGCUGCAAUUUAUGAGGCCAUUUGUGUCAAGACCCACCCCGGAUUUCACCAUGAAAUCCAGAAUGAACCCUACAGGGACCACCUCCAAAGGAGAUGCUACUGGAAAUUCGGCAUAACCUCCUUUGAAAAUUGACAACCCUACCUAUCAAAAACCACACAUACACUUCUAUAAUCAAAACAAUUCAUCCUUAACUCUUGGAGCCACCUUGCUCCCAGCACUACACCAACACCCAGAACACAACAUACCUUAGCUAAUUUACAACAAUCUCAAAGGUCAUCAGAGCAUAACUAAUAAUGAAAGAAAAACAAUGAAUAAAGAAUAAGCGGAAUCAGCCUCUAACUAUGCCUCGACUCCAUGUACGCUCGACUUCAGAUAAACUUGACCUGCAAACUGGGCAUUUGAAACCAAAUGGCCCAGGAGAAAGUAAUUUAAAACGUUAGAGUGAAUGACAAAAGAUAAAAUAAAAUAAUUUAACAAAAUCUUAUUUCGAUAUUUUCCCACGUUUAAACUUUGAAACCUCUUCGAUGCAAGCAACCUUGAUCAAACAUUUAGCUUAUUGUCCGGAAUCACGUAAGAAUAGAUAAACCAGCCCCGCUGAUUAAUCGAAUACUUAAUUUGAGAAAAUUACACAAGGGGAAGAGAUAUCACCAUGUAAGAGGAGUCUCCCAUGCUCGGGUCAGAGCCUGAGAGGCUCUAGUAGCGUCCUACGCCUACGCUAAGCGCUCGACUCACCUAUGGUAAGGACCGCUAAUAAUGGCUAGCAAGCAAUGAAUAAAACGCGACCCAAGUAUGGUGACUAAAUUCAUACGAAAACAUCUAAAUCCAUAAAGCUUCCCCAAAUUCAUGCAAUUGCAGUUACGAGUACGGUUCCCAACCAUACGCGGAAAUUAACAUGAGAAAAUAAAGUAAAACUCAAUGACGUGUCUCACACGUCAAGAUAUUCUCAAAUCUAAAUUUAUCGGCGAGAUUUAAUUAUCAAGCAUAAAUCAUAAAUAAUUUCUCAACCUGAAAUACUCUCUAAAAUAUUUUCAAUGUCAAGAUUGAUCAUCCACAAAUAAACGAGAAAAUUAUAAAUAGAAACUUACCGAAAAUCUCAUCUUCGGUAAUCUUUUAUAAAUCUCAAAGUCAACAAAUAAUGACGAUAAUAAUUCAAUCCGGACAUCAUAAAGAAUAUCAAAACUCAAAUACCAAAUUAAUGACCCGAGUUCAAAUCCAUAUAUCAUGACCAACACUUAAUCGAUGCAUCAAACUAAAAUAAACUUCAAGACCAUAUCAUAAACCGAAAUUAUAAUAUAAGCUCGGAAAAUAGAACGAUAAUCUCCAAAAGAAACCAUGCAUGCUUAUUCAUUUAAAAACAAAGUGUCCACUAACAAAUUUAGGCAUAAGCCCGACGAUAUCCGCAACGACACUUAUGAGAGGUCUCCACGUAUCAUGACACCAUAAACAUGUUUAGAACCACUCUUCAAUUAAGAAAAAUUAAUGUUUUAACUUAAGAACCGAAACUCCUCCGCUUAACCCACUACUCAAGCUAGGGUUAAGCUAAUUGGAUUUUCACCAAACUUGAACCACAACCUCACCUCAUCGAUUUUAGACCAUAAUCAAGGAAAUCUAAUGGUCGGAUCUAUUAUAUCAACCGCCAAGUUCUCCAAUCUCUGAAAAAUCUCAAACCUAACCAAAACUCCUCCAAAAAUUACAAACUUCACACCAUUGGACUCCCCUCAACAUACCAAAUUUAAUAACAUGAAAAACCACCCAAAAGAGGCGCCGCCGCCGUCUGCUCCGCCGGCCAGCCCUACUCCGACCACCUCCAAUGCUCACCAAAAUUUGACACAAUCUUCGUCUCAACAUUCUAAACAACUUUCCUAACUAGCCCAAAGAUCAAUUUUAAGUAUAAACAUGCAAAUCGAGCCAAAAACAGAAAAUCCGAAAUUCAAGAACCCUAGAAUUUCAAAGCUUCGAUUCUCCUUACCUAGCUUGAAUUGGAUCAAAUCCUUUUGAGGUUUUGUUGUACAAGAGGAGAGCUUCCAAACGAGACAAGAAGCUCCGGCUAUGGUGGCCGAAAAAGGAAGUUCUGGCGAGAAGAACCCGGCGGUGAUGGCGCGGCUUUCCGGUGUGAUUUAUGUCUCACGACGGCGAGGUGGAUCCAACAACCUACCUAGAUCGAUAGAGGAUGGUCCAAGCUUCGAUUUGAUACCCAGCUUGUCGCCUAACUCGGCCGGACGGCGGCGGGGAAACUGGCGGAGGAGAGAGACGCGGGAGAGAGGAGAGAGAGAGAGAGGGUGAAAUUUUGAUUUCUACCUUACCCCAACCGGUAAGUUUCCCUUUUUAUACUCUCGACUGAAAUAAUAACUUUACAUUUUACACCAUAACUUUUACAUACGAACUCCGAUUUUAACAUAUAGCAUAUGGAUUCGUAUUAGCAUCAUCUACGACUUCCUUAAAGAAAUUUACCCAAAAUAAUUUUCCUACAAAAAGUCAACUCUGGGGUCCUUUAACAGUCAACGGUUACUUAAAAUGGUAAAAGGUCAAAGUAACACAAAAGUAAAUAACCGCAAAUUAAAUUAAGAAUCGGGAUGUGACAUAUAAAAUCUUGCAAGGGAAUUCUAGUAUACCAUCUCUGCAUUAGUAUUGGGAUUAUUGAUUAUCAUAUUUGAUUUUUCUAAAAAAUUAGAUAUUAGGUUUUUUCAAAUGUCAUGAAGACACCAAGCUUGCUUUAGGAUGUCUAUUUCAAAUAUCAUGAAGACACUAAGCUUUGAUUGCCAGUUGAAUCACAUUGUUUUUAACCAAAGACUUUUCUGAUCAGAAUUUCAGUUAGGCACUUUUCUGAUUUUGUACCUUUGUGUUCCACAUGUCUAAAAGGUACCAGCCCCACACAAGAAAUCAAGACCUAUCAAGGAACAUGUCAUAAAGUCUAGAAAGGGAUGGAAGAAAAUGAAGUUGGCAAUGGAGGGUAGUUCUGCUGGAAAUGGUAGUGCAUCAGCCGGCCUUAACACAACCUCCUACUCAAAGCAGCCAAAAUCAUGGAGUAAGGGGUGCUCAAAAGUGAAUGUGUUGGCUUUUAAAUUAGAGAAACAUAAUGUGUACUUCAUCAUGUUUUGGAAUCAAUUUUUUGCAAACAAUCUGGUUCCUUGAGUUUUUGGAAACUAAUUAAGCUUGAAUUCUGAUGCAUAGUAUGUUUCUCAUGUGCUUUUUUUGGUUAUAUGUUUGAAUUUCUAUGUUACAUUUUCAGUUAUUGCAUAAUAUUUAUUGUCAGCAGAUAAACAUAGCCGCAGUGCCUAAACUCUACUGAACUGAUCAAUGUGAUACCCAGGAUGAAAACUCAAGUUUCAAUUUUAGAGAUUUUGGAGGGAAAACAGUUCAAUUUUAGUGAUUUUGGAGAGAAAACGGUUCUGUUGAGAAUUAGAAGGUUAUUUUUGUCAUUACACCUUUUUUAGUAGGCCCCAUACUGGCCACGUCAGCAAACAUAUGACACCUUGACGGAAAUUGGUCUCAGGCCUUUCCUUGGUAGCAAAAACAAAGUUUGGGUAUCACAUUGAUAGUAUUUAAAGUCUGGGUACCACUUUGACCAUGUCACAAGAGUUGAGGUACCGACGCUGCAUUUUACUCAGAAAAAUAUUGAGUUUCCUGCGUUACUAUUUCCCAUACACAAUAGCAAGAUCCUGACUUUGGGCCUAAAUCGUACCGGAAGCAAUGGGUAUCAGUACUGUCAGUAUCAACUUAAAAUAUCUACAUCGCAUCGGGCACGUACCGAAAUAAAUUUCAGAUACCAGGAUCGGUAUGAGCACAACCAUCUCGACCCAUGCCCAGGCCUACAAGGCAUAUUCAAAUUUCUCAUGGAUUCUGAUCCAUGUUAGAACAGAAUUCAAAUACUUAAUGAAAUCUAUCUCAUAAUGAAUACAUGAACUUGAAUUUUCUAUGUUUUCAAGAUAGCAACAUCUGUAUCUAUCCUUAAUGGAAUUUACAUAAGCUGAAACUAAAUGAAAACUUACCCGUAUAACUUUAAUCUUCUGCUGGUGCCAUCUGUGGAUAGCAACAUCUGUUUUGGAGUACCUUUAAUCUUCUGCUGGUGCAAUUGAAUUUCCUUUAAUCGUCUGCUAACACACCCUUUUAUCUAUUGUUGACGUACUUGUCUCUUGAAACUUGUCGGUGAACUUGGAUCAGCAAUUUUGGAUCUUCUCCUUGUUACACUAUUAGAUUUCUCCUAAGUUGCACGGACAUGGACAUGGACACAGCGACACGGCAAAACUCAAAAACUGAGUUUCCGACACUGCUUGGACACGGCAAACAAAAUUAUAUAUUUAUGUAUUUUUAAUAAAUAAAAAAUAUACUAAAAUAUGAAAUAAGUUCAUUACAUUACCAAAUAAAGUUCUAAAUUCAAUAUAUUUCAUAACCAUAAGAAAUAAGUCAAGUGCAUAACUAAUAUAACAUUAAAAACAGCGGACCUAUAGCACCUAAAACAUAACAUUAAAGAAAAACAAACUUGAGCAGUAGCUUGUUUUCAAACAUGACAAUCUCUAGCACAGUAGCACCUAAGACAAGAAGAUGAACUAAUAUAAUUAUGGAUUAAUUUCAGUUUACCCCCCUGAGGUUUGGGGUUAACAUCGUUUCACCCCCCAUACUUUUAAUUUUGAAAAUUUACCCCCUAAAGUUUCAAAUUUUCAUAAAUCAUGCCCAAUUGCUGAAAUUUCAUAUAAUUUAGACGUUAAUUUUAACUUCACAACUCACUAAAAGCGCUAAAAUAGUCAUAUAACAACAUAAAUCGUCUUUUGAGCAUCUCCAGCAGUAUUGCUAAAUCAAUUUUUUUUUUUAAACUUGUCAACUUUUUGAAUGAAUAGGAGCUCCAACAGUAUACCUAAAUGGUUGCUAAAUUUAAGAAUUGCUAAACAAAAUUGAUAAAUUUGUCAAUUGAGCCAUGAAUUGCUAAAGAAAUACUUAUAUUUUCCCUCCUUCUUUUCUCCACGUGUCAGUUUAUAAUUUGUUAAAAAUAUUAUUUAACUUACACUUAGCAAUAACUGCUGGAGCCAAAUUCUUAUAACAAUUGCUAAAUUUCAUAAUUAUUGCUAAAUUUAACAAUAGUUUUAGUUACACUACUGGAGAUGUUACCUUUUUUUCUAUAAUUUCAUGUUAACAUUUAACCUCCAAAUUGGACGGAAUUUUAGCAAUUGGGCUUGAUUGAUGAAAAUUGAAAACUUUAGGGGGUAAAUUUUCAAAAUUAAAAGUAUGGGGGGUGAAACGAUGUCAACCCCAAACCUUAGGGGGGUAAACUGAAAUUAAUUCUAUAAUUAUUAUAUCCAUAAUCCAUCCAAACUUGUUAUUCUAUAAUUGAUCUAAUAUAAAAUGAAUAGAAAAUUUAGGUCCCUGUUUUCUUUUCUUUUUUAAGUCUAAAACGCUGACGUGGCGUGUCGUAAUGCCGUGUCGGGGCCGGUCAACGUAUCCGAAAAGUCAACUUUUUCGAACACGCCACGUGACGUAUCGGACACGUAUUUUGCCGUGUCGAGCGCCGUGUCGGCAUGUCGGAGUGUCCAACACUCCAGGGGUGUGGAGUGUCCAUGCAACAUAAGAUUUCUCAGAGUUUAUAGGACUUUUUUGAGAUAAGCGUGUGUACAAGUAUGGACCUAAAUUUGUUAUGUAGUUUAGCCAUGUUUGGUAGUUACUUCCAUCAAGCAAACUGCCUAACCAUUCUAACUGCUAUUUCAAAUUUGUCUUAAUCAGAUUUAUCCUAAUAACUGCAUCAAUUUGAAUUUUAAUUCAAAUGUAAACAAGUUAAUAUUGCAGACUAUUAUGAUCUGAACUUGUCUGCUACAUUCCUUAUGAUAUUCGAAUUCAAUACCAGUUACAUACAUGUCUGAAUUCCACUAAAUACAAUGUCUAGUUCUUAAGAAGUCUUAACAAUCCAAGUAUAGAAAUUCAAUAAACAAGUUAAUAUUUAUUGGAAAAAAAAUUUGAUAAUAACGGACAAGAAACAUACAUAUAAUAUCCAAAUGAUUGAUACAUUCAAACUGAAGAUUCUCAUGUUCAUAGAUAUCAAAUUUCACCAAGUAGACAAUAAACAAGAUUAUUGGAGGGGAAGCGCCUGCAACGAGCCAAGUAUUUCAUCCUCGAGAACAUAUCCUUUCCUUGUUUGCAAUGCGACCUCUAUCUCUCUUGUGCUUGAUAAUAUUCCUUCCACUGAUCGAUCAUCUACGAGUAGAUCGAGAUGAGAGUUAUUCAUACAUGCAUAUAUCCACUCUAAUAUAUGCAUAUUCUUUUUCUUUUUCUUUUUUGAAACAUAUGCAUAAUCUAAAAGCACUCAGUAUUAACGAAACCUAAUAAUGUAUAAUGAUGAUGUACAGAUACCAUGACGAUAACAAAAAUCUAUUACCUCGGUUGUCAGAUGUCCAAUAAAUAGUAGGGUCAUCAUAUAGUAUCAUCAUACUCCUACUGCCAUCGUCAGCAACCUGACCAAAUACGUGAAGCUCUAGCUUAUUAGGACAGUCUUCAUUCUCUUUUUCAAGAACUAUUGCUUGGUAUGUUUUAACAACUUCAGCUUCAACUGCCUCCAACGUUAGGUAAUAGUACAUGUCUGAAUGCCACCACGAAUCGUACUGGCGAUAUGCCUUCACCGCUCUCACAAAUUGAAGUUUUGCAUCCUAAUUGAGAAGCCAAAACAUUCAUUAUAAUUGGAUUAGGGCUGGCAAUUUGGACCAUGUCGAAACCAAUCAACCGAGUAUCAACCGUACCAACCUGAUUGGUAUACCAAAGACUUGGUAACCGACUUACUUGGUACGGUAUACCGUACCAGUCUUAGUAACAUGGUUGGUAUUUGGUAUUAAGAUUUUCAUACCAUCGGUAUACCGUACCAACCAUGUAUGUGUAAUUAUGCAAAAAUACACUCAUAUCUAUGUAGGAAACGAGAAUUAAACCUCUAACCUCUUACAAACAACCUAUAAAAUGUAUAAUAUAUGUAAAGACAAUUAAAAUAUAUGUAUAAUAUAUAAUAUAUGUAUUGUUUUAUAUUUAUAACAUACUAUAGAUAUAAAUACAAAUAAAAUAUAAAAUGUUUAAAGUUUAGCAAGAGGUAUGUUUCGAAACCAUGACUGCUCUGAUGGAAAAUACGACCACAUACCAUCAAGACCAAAGCUAUCAUUGCAUUAUAUUUGUGAAAAAAUUAUAUUUAUCACUUCAUUUUUUUAGAUCACCAUCUAAACUUGGUAGAGGCCUAUUACCAACCGUACCAACUAAAUCAGUAUACCAACUUCGGUGGUUGGUUUUGAUAGAGGAUUUUGCCUACCAAUCAUAAGUUGGUUGAUACAUGGUAUUGACAAAUAAAAUCGAUAUACCUACCAAUGCCGGCCCUAAUUUGGAUAGUUCAACAUCAAGGUGGAAAACCUAAUUGUAUGUAUAUAUCAGAUAUGCAGUGUUACUACAAUUAUCCAAAUAAUGACUCGAUGUACCUCAAUGACAACAAAUGUGUAAAUGAGUGAGUCAUAAACAUGCAAGUACGUACCCUAGCUAGAAUUUCCCAUAUGGAGGUGUCAAAAUAGAAAGAGAAAGAGAAAACGAAUAUCAAAUUCCUAGCACUCAAAACAUUCAUUAUAUUUGGAUAGUUAAACAUAUUGGUAGCAGCUUUUUGUGUAUCACUCGAACCUUUUGUUUGUUGAACUCUUCCACUGCCAAAUGAGCACAAGCCAUAAUGUUGGGAUCAUCCGCAGGUUGAGCAUAUGGAAGACAAUCAUCUGAUGGAAGCAAAAAACAGCGACUACCAUCACUCUAUACAAACAAAGAGUAACUAGAUGUAUUAGAGAGUUUUGCAUAUCAAAUUGGAGUCAUCAUCAACCAAAUACAGGAUAUAUCAAUUCAUUCAACGAAGACCAUAAAGAUUCAGCCAAAUCAACUUGACCAUAUAUACCAGUCGUUGAACUUCAAUGCGAUAGCUCAGCAGCUUUUGGUAUUUCUCAUCAUCCCAAAUUUUUUGAGGUUUGUUUUCUACCAAUCUCCUGCGCGCACUCCGAACACAAAUAUUCCCCAGCUUUGCAAGCACACAUCGAAAAGCCAUUAUACAGCCUGGAGAACAAAAACAAGAUCCAAUUCAACGAAAAAUAGUACUGAUACCCAAAUUCAGCAACACAAGUUUACUCACCUGGAACCCGAUCGGCUUCGAGCCCUAGCCUCUUUCACUCUCGAGAUCGAGAUCUUUUGCAGGUUAAGAAUUGUCUUGUAUGGGCCGGGCCUUUGUUUCUCUUGUGGCCUUUUAUACAUCAAUAAACAUUAUAAAUAAUGUCCUCUCCUAUUUAGGGUUGGAUGUGAGAGCCGUCCUGCGGUCGUUCCUGUUCUCCGUUUCUACCAGGUGAGAGAAAUCGAAAUCCUCCUCCUCCUUCUCAUCUUUUGUUUUUGAAUAAUUUGCUAUUAUGCUCUUGGUAAAUGACUGUUUUAGAGUUGCUCUUUAUUUGAGUCAGGUAAGUCUUCUAAGUAUAUAUGUGUUAUUAGUGCUUGGGCAAAGGUCUGCUAUUAGAGACUCAGAGGGGGAUGUUUGGCUUUUGGAUGAUUCUGGGUGGGGUUUAUUUGUGGGUUGAUGAAGAUGAUGAUGGUGGCUAGGCUGGUUCAUACACCACACCUCAAUUUUUUCUUAUUAGCCGAAAAUGAUUUAUAGGCUCUGGAUUGGGCCUCCUGCUGCUGCAAAGAUAUAGAUUUUACUCUCUUAUUGUGUUGGACUGAUAUUUACUACUGAGCCAAAAUGGUGGUGUUCGGCUUUUGGAUGAUUCUUUUGUGGGUUGGUGGUGGUGGUGGUGGUGGUGGCUAGGCUCGUGCAUACACCACACCUCAAUCUUUGCUUAUUAGCUGAAAAAGCGUUAUAGGGUCUGGAUUGGGCCUCUUGCUGCUGCAAAUAUAGACUUUCUCUUGAGUCAUGCUAUCAUCACAGAGUACAUGAUUUAGGGGUGGUAUUGUAUUUGGAUUUCCGUAAUGUUGUAAAGACUUUUGUGGAUUUCCAACGUUUAGAGGUGUUCAACUAGGAUUUAUAACAGAAGAUUUAAAAAUCCAUGAAAGUAUGGAGGUAUUCAAUAAACACACGAAUUGUUAAAGAUUUAUUAAAUGAUGGAUUUGCACAGAUUGUCUAGUGUAAAUUCUAAAGAAAACAAUCCAACCCCCUAGACAUAAGAUUUCCAUGGAUUUACAAUUUUGUUCUUUUUAUUAUUUUAUUUUAUUCUUUCCUCUCUCUCUCUCUCUCAUGUCCCUUAUAUAUAUCACUACACAUCUCCUUUCUUUUUUUACCUUUUUUUUUUUAGAAUAAUCAUCCACUCAGUUUUUGUACGUGCCUUAUAUUCUACAAUUAUUUUUCUAGUUCUUUUGCUUCGUACGCUAUUAUAACACUUGUAUUUAACUGUUUUAUCCAACUCAUUAGGUAUAACAUAUGUUAUCCACAGUUGGAUGAAAACUUUUGAACUUUGCUUUAUUGUAAUAGAGAUAGAGAUUGUUAGCGAGAAUCACUCACAAUCACUCUUCUCCUCAAAUCAACUGCUAUACAACUAUGGUAAUAAUCUACAGUAAUGACAAUUGCAUAUAUUUAGGAAAGAGAAUCAGAAUCACUCUUGAUUCGAGGAGAAGAGUGAUUCUGAGUGAUUCUCGCUAACAGAGAUAAAUAUAAUCAUUGUCAAUUUUUUUUUUUCUUUGGUUGUCACAUACAACUUAAGUACAAAAUAAACAUGUUUUUUUACCGUGUUUUGUCACAAGUCUAUGCACUUUUCAAAAUGAUUAUGAAUAAGGAAUAAGAAUUUUUAAUUCUUUCUCCAUAAUAUGUCUCCAAAGGUUUAGUACACAUAUAUAGCUAAACUUGCAAAGUUUUCAUGUUAUUACUUUUCUUUAUCUACUCAUGUUACAUGUUUAUGUUGAUAAGUGUUGAAUCAUAAAAUGUUUAUUAAAUUCUAUGAGAAUCCAUACAAAUUUAUCAUUUGUUUUCAAGAAUCCUAAAAAGUUGAGGUUCUAAAAUCUAUGUGAAUCCAAUAGAUUUUAUAAAUCUGCAUAAAUCUACGAAUUCUUUUUAAAUCCAUCACUUAUAAAAAGUAUCUAAAAAUCUAAAUAAAAUACACCCCCCUUAUUUUAUGUGUUUAUAGUCUAAAUAAUGCCUAAAAUGAAUAUUUCUAGUUAUCUAGCUAUAUAGUUGUGGUGGAAGAGUAUGAUUGAUUGAUUUUUUGAUACCCAUCUUUAUUACUUGCAGACAGAGAGGAGUAUAUAUGGCUCUUCGUUGUUUUCUUGGAAAGAUGAGGAUCGCUAAUAAAUUUCUCCACAGUAAAGAAAGAAUUAUGAUGCUUGGGACCUCUGAAGUUUUCAAACACAAAAACAAGGAAUUGCUUUCAAUUGCUUUUCCUACUCUUUCCUCUCCUCGCCAUUUUAGGGACACUGAAAAUCGUGCCCCCACACCAAUAGCUACUAAGAAAGAGGUACGUAUGUAUCUAUUUGUCUAUAUUAAGCUAUUAUGGGUAGUGUUAUACACACAUCCUAUUUUGUUAUUCACACAUCCCAUCAAUGAUGAGAGCCAAUCAUGGAGCAUAUUCAAAAGGGUAUUUUGUAAAUAAAAGUAAAUUAUACUAAUAGAAAAAUAAAUAAGGUGUGUGAAUAACAUCCAUCAACUAAGGUAAAUUAAAGCAUGUACUGUUAAUUGCCAGGGAUUAGUUAGACCAUCUUCCACGAUAAGCUAAAAGCCCAAAUUUACCUAAGAAAUUAUCUUCCAAGAAAAAAAUUUGGCUUCAAAGAUUUUUGGUUAGCCAUACUUCACUUACGUAAGUGGUAAAGUAAAACAAAAUAUUAUUUAUUCAGCUUUUUAUUUUUUUUUCAGAUUUAUCCUUCCAACUUGCACUAUCAUAUAUUUUAUUUCCUUCUGUAUCAUUUUUUUAGUUUAAACUAAAAAUUUCAAAACAUUUGUUACUAACAAAAAGUUUUACCAUUGUAAAAAUCUCGAUUAGAUCUUUCAUAUGAGCUCAAUAUCAAAUAGAUCAAAUGUUCUAAAUAAUUAAUUAUUAAAUUAAAAAAAGGUACAUAGUUUAUUGAAUUAAAAUGGUUUUACCUAAUGAUUUAGCUCACAGUGGGAGUAUUUUUAAAACCAAAAUGCCAUAUAUUUAGCUAAGUAUUUAGCUUAUGGUGGGAGAUUCUGGUAAGCUAAGAAAAUAUUAUGUUCUUGUUUUCUUAGCUAAAUUGGGCUUGAAAUUUACUUUAUGGUGGGAGAUGCUCUAAUGUAUUGCUGAUUUCACCGCCCACCCUUGAUUUUUUUUAAUUCUAUUUCUGAUUUUCAUUUACAUAGGUUUUGGAUAAUCAUAUGAAUAUAGGAGGAAUAAGACCUGCCCGUUUUGCGUUGGAAGAGUUCAACACAAUAAAGGUAUGUUUCUGCCAACGAUCUUCUUAAGUGAGGUAUAACUGAUAACGUUAAUUCCAAAUUCCUAAGAAACUUGGAACCGUUUUGCCUUUGUUUCUUAUGCUCUCCAAAUGUAUGCAUUCUGAUUCUGGUUUGAUCUUACUCAUUUAUUUUACUGGGCCUGUCUUUCCUUUUGAAUAUCUAUAUGUCAAAUGUUCCAGGUUUUUUUAUUGUUAGUUUCUUUGUUACUAGUGUAUGUAGAUGUCAAGAUUAACGGUUUGCUUAACUAUAUAUAUCUUGUAGAAAACCCAACUGCAGCUUGUGAGAGUGGUGGGAUUUUGGAUGAAACCGCAGGGUUAUCCUCAUAAUCCUUGUCAUUGUUUAUAUGUUGUAAUAAUGAAGGCAGUUGAUGCCGAUGGUGUGGCACGACUUUACCAAGCCCGUGUACAGCUCCAUGAGUCAACUGAGGGCAUGUUUUUGGAAGCAUUCUAUCACUGUUCUACUGAUCCCGACAGUGCAAAGUAUAAUAGGCAUUAUAAGAGGCUAUAUCAUUUCCUAGGUAAUCUACGGUAUUAUGAUGAUGAUUGCUUCUCUUGGUACAUUUGUUCUCUGAUUAAUUACUGUGUUUGAAAUUGGUAUUUAUCAAUUUGAUCAUUUGCCAUUUGCUUGAAACAGACAACUUCUGUGACAUCAUGUAUAAAGGAGUGGAAUACUGGUGACGGUGAUCAAUGAAUGAUGGCAUCCUUGAAAGGCUUUUGUAAAAUUAUAUGAAAGGCAAGCAUAUUGACAGACUUUUUAUGGGGAAGUCGUUAUUAAAUUGAUGUGAAGCGAGGAGUCAAGCAUUUGCUAAGAUUGAAGAAUAUGCAGAUCCAAAUAAGUAAUAUUUGAAUAUAUUUUCAAUCUCCAUAACAUUUUAUGUUCCGUGAAUAUCAUUUUUUUUUUUAUAUAGUUAUGCUCGAUUUAGAUAAGUCUAGCUGUGCGGUAAUUUGGUUUAUCAUAGGAUUUCAAAAUGAGACAAUGCGACAAUCUUGGGUUGUCACAAUCGGUUGUUGUUCAGAUGUCUCACCGAAUGGUAAAAACCUGAAAUUAGACGUUUGCAUUUCACGAUGCAAUUUGUUCUUUACAUAUGACAUAUUGAAAGAAGUAGUUGUGUUAGCAAAAAUCAUAUGCGAUUGAUUCGAGACUAUAUUUCUUACAAUUUGUAAAAUCUGAGGCUUUGUAAGUUUGUCGCAUUUGACUCUGGCCAUGUGCAUUUCAUUUAAGUUCUCUUUUCUAGUUCGUAUGGAAUUGUUUGGCACAGUGAAGUUUGUCUUUGCGCAUACGAUUUGGUUGCUUUGAGGUGAUGCCGUGGCCACCACUAUUUUCGUGUCGGUUGUUACAGUUUUGGCUUAUUAGCCUAUUUGUUACCUUAUCUUUUAUUAUAGUGUCAAAUUACUACCCUAGCUUUUAGUUUUGUCAUUUUGCUACCCUAGGAUUUCAAAAUUGGCCGAAUUAUUACUAAAUUGAAAGAAAUAAAAGUUAAGGUAGCAAAUUGACACUAUAAUAAAAGUUAAAGUAGUAAAUCGGCUAAGAAUGCGGUUAUUGGGACCUCUAAAUUUGUUCAGUGAACCUCUCAUGUUUUCCACACCUUUAUUUUACUUUUAAAUACAGAUAUUUGCUCACUAGACCUCAAUUCAAAUUUCUAAAAUAACCUUGUUUAUAUUAUUCACAUAUAUUUCAAUAUUAAUCAUUACACCUACAUAUUUUAAUUAUAAUUUCAUUCCUUUAUGAAAGAACAUAAAUCAAAUAACACAAGGUAUUGACUUUCAUAAACUUAUUUUUGUCAACAAGAAAAUUUUCUAACAAGGAUAACCAUUUUUUCUAUGUAUGUUCUUUUUUUCUUCCUCUAUAUUAUGUAAUUCAUGAUAUAUUAUUUCAAUAAUUAUUUAAUUUUACAUAAUCAAAAAAAUUUAUUUUUGCAAAUACAUGCAUGCACCUUGUAUAAUGUAUAUGCUUUUAACAUGUAUGAUAACAUAAAUUUUUAUGUCAAAUGAUCGAUAUUAAUCAUAGUUUUAGCUCUUCUUAAAUAAAUAAAUGUUUUAAUAAUAUGUAGUCAAAUUAGAAAAUGAAAAUACAUAAGGAAAAUAAUAAAUAAUACAAUAUUUCUUAUUGAAUUGGAAAGUUUAGAGAGAAUAAAUAUAUUACUUCUUUUUGUUAUUGUCCUUAAUAGUCAUUAUGUAAGAGGAUAUAUCUGGCAUUCAAUAACUCACAAUAGAGGUCAACUGAGCAAAUUUAGAGAUUCCGAUAACCGCACUCAUCGGCUAAAACAGUUUUAAUCGAACUUGCCUUGUCAGGGCCGUUUCUUGGGCUUUUUGAACUCUUGUCGAAUGGGGUAUGUGGUGUGAUUAGAGUCGGCUAGUCAACUUGUCUUGCCUCGGAUUCCGAAUCUUGAUUGGUGCGGCAUGUACUUUGAUUACCAUAUUUUACGAAUUUUUAUUCACGGUAGCCCUUCUAGUGAGGACUCUUCAGUUAAGGACUAGUUGAGGACAUUUCGGUUUAUGGUUUAAAAGACCCAAUUUUCGAUCACAUUUUGACAUCUUAUCCGUUCAGUUUUUAGGUUUAUAUAAGUAGAUCAUUUCUACAAAUUUUUAGUCAAAUUGAUCUUCGUUAAGAUAACAAACUAGAUCAAAUUAAUAGACGAACCAAAUCUGUCAAAUAUGAACCGUUAAAGUUCAUAAUUGAUAAAUCACACUUAUGAAUGUCUUAACAAUUUUCAAUAUAGCUGAAAAUUUAGAGAAAUGAUCUAUUCAUAAAUACCUAUAAACUGAACGGUCAAGAUGUUAUAUAAGAAUGAAAUGUGGAAUAAACCGAAAAGUCCUCAACUUGGAUCCUCACUAGAAGGGCUUCCUUUUAUUCACAACUCAAACUAUGUUCAGUUAAGUCACUGACCCAAAAAGUCAUGCUCAACCACCUAUAAAUCACAUUGACCAAGAUAGAUAAGCAUCAAGACAACGUCAGUUAUGCGAAUCAAAAGCCAUGUUCAGAACCAAUAGGAAUAAGUGAUCUUAUAAAAUGUGUGCAGAUAAAUGGAUAACAAGAUACAAAAUACAACGUUCAACAACGGGCACAAAGUUGGUAAAAUGACCCUAAAAAGAAACAUGGCACCACAGUCAAGGAGAUAGAAGAGAACAUCAUGUGCUCAGUUGUAAACCAUGUAUUUCGGAGUAGCACUGAACUUCUGGUAACCCUUGAUGACCUUAUUCACAGCAUCAAGGAAGUCUUUUUCCGUUACUGUCUUCCUUCGUGCACGGAUGGCAUACAUUCCGGCUUCUGUGCAUACACUUCUUAUAUCAGCUCC
rnacentral:lncRNA from 1 species